AACAUGCGGGACGCGGAUGAGCGCCUAGUUCAAAUCACUGUCGCUGAUGACGGCUCAAGAAAUGAGAGGAUGUGGCCUGUCAUGCUCACUCUUGCAUUGUGAUUCGUUCCUCGGCGUUCUCAUUGGCUAAUGCGGCUAUCUCAUUAUCUGCGGAGCGAUAAUAAAAGGUUCCAGACUUGCAGCACCCUGCGUUUCAUAAAUUGCCAGUGACUAUGGUUCAGACAACAUGGAGGAUGGGAGAAGGCAACGUGUGACCGUGGCCCAGAGGGAGGAGCUUGAUACAUUUAUGUUCGAGAGCCCCUCUCUGGUACGCGUCGCAACAAAGCUGAGCCUGGCACUGUCCAGACACAACAAGGUUUGUCUGGAACGAGCUGACCUGCCGGCUCAACUUUCUCGGGCCUCUGAGGAAGGAGCCGGAAGGUUGGAAACGCUUCUGGGCCGUGCGGGUGUCGAAGGUGCGGGGCACGGGCUGUGGAGCUGGCGAAACAGGCGAGGCAAACGGGGCGGAGGCGGCCGGGUGCGCUCACUGUCUUCAUCAUACGCACAUGGUUUGACGCUGAUGGGGGAGGCCUCGGCCCUGGGCGCUCCCGGGAUUUCUGUCCCGGCGUUUCAGGACGAGGCCGAGAUGUGAGGCCCCCUGCAAGGCCCCAGGUGCGGCCAACGGCGCCUCGUGUUACUCCCCGGAUAUCGAAGCAGGAGCGGCACGACAGGGCUGCCAUGCAGGCUGUCGCCAACCAGGCUCUCCAUCUGCAGCAGAACAAGGCGAGGGACGCGCGGGACGUGGAGCUCCAAGGCCAGCUCCUGCGUUCCAUCGAGACCCUCAGCCACCGCAUGGAGGCUGUUGCGGAGGCCAACCAGGAGCAAGCUCGCGUCACACAAGCGGGUGGCCCUGGAACUCUAGAACACGACCUGCGUGCUCGUCGGGGUCGUUCUGCUGCUGACUGCCAAGAGCAGCCAAGCCCAGCGCAGCCAAGACCUGCCUAGCCCUGCCCAGCCACCCCCUCGUCCAGCCCAGCCCCGCCGAGCCCAGCCCGGCCGAGCCCAGUCCCGCCGAGCCCAGCACCGCCCCCCGCAGGGGCACCUGUGAAAGCAGGUGUUUGGAGAGUGGCGUCUCCACGGACCCCGAGCCAUGCGGGUUCGC